rnacentral:rRNA from 1 species
UACGUAGGGUGCGAGCGUUGUCCGGAAUUAUUGGGCGUAAAGAGCUCGUAGGCGGUUUGUCGCGUCUGCUGUGAAAACCCGAGGCUCAACCUCGGGCCUGCAGUGGGUACGGGCAGACUAGAGUGCGGUAGGGGAGAUUGGAAUUCCUGGUGUAGCGGUGGAAUGCGCAGAUAUCAGGAGGAACACCGGUGGCGAAGGCGGCAUCCUGGACCGGUAUUGACGCUGAGGCGCGAAAGCCAGGGGAGCAAACGGG